rnacentral:tRNA from 1 species
GGUGGCUCAGUGGCAGAGUGUUUGCUUCACAUGCAUGAGGCCCUGGGUUCGAUUCCUCAGCACCA